rnacentral:rRNA from 1 species
AUUGAACGCUGGCGGCAGGCUUAACACAUGCAAGUCGAGCGGAGAUGAGGUGCUUGCACCUUAUCUUAGCGGCGGACGGGUGAGUAAUGCUUAGGAAUCUGCCUAUUAGUGGGGGACAACAUUCCGAAAGGAAUGCUAAUACCGCAUACGUCCUACGGGAGAAAGCAGGGGAUCUUCGGACCUUGCGCUAAUAGAUGAGCCUAAGUCGGAUUAGCUAGUUGGUGGGGUAAAGGCCUACCAAGGCGACGGUCUGUAGCGGGUCUGAGAGGAUGAUCCGCCACACGGGGACUGAGACACGGCCCAGACCCCGACGGGAGGCAGCAGUGGGGAAUAUUGGACAAUGGGGGGAACCCUGAUCCAGCCAUGCCGCGUGUGUGAAGAAGGCCUUAUGGUUGUAAAGCACUUUAAGCGAGGAGGAGGCUACUGAGACUAAUACUCUUGGAUAGUGGACGUUACUCGCAGAAUAAGCACCGGCUAACUCUGUGCCAGCCGCCGCGGUAA